rnacentral:snRNA from 1 species
GGAUGUGAGGGCAAUUUGGCUGCAACAUCUGUCACCCCAUUGACCGCCAGGAUUGAUUCGGCUGAUCUGGCUGGCUAGGCGGGUGCCCCUUCCUGCCUCAACACUCUAUGUGCGUCCCUCCCAAAGCUGCAUGCUUGGUUGAAAAGGACAACUACCCCGAUAGAGAAGGAAAUUCCUCAGUCAAGGGUAUACGAGCCCCUGUGCUCCGCUGCUGGAACAUCCAAACAACCUCUCAAGAAGUAGCAAAGGUUCAUUUCCACUCAUUCUGCAAACACUUACUUACAAAGCCUUAAGU